AAUGUAUGAAGCUAACCAGUACUAAUUGCCCGUGAGGCUUGACCAUAUAACACCCAAGUAGUU
rnacentral:rRNA from 1 species